rnacentral:rRNA from 1 species
UACGGAGGAUGCAAGCGUUAUCCGGAUUCAUUGGGUUUAAAGGGUGCGUAGGCGGAAUAAUAAGUCAGUGGUGAAAGCCUGUGGCUCAACCAUAGAAUUGCCAUUGAUACUGUUAUUCUUGAGUAUAGUUGAAGUGGGCGGAAUGUGUAAUGUAGCGGUGAAAUGCUUAGAUAUUACACAGAACACCAAUUGCGAAGGCAGCUCACUAAGCUGUUACUGACGCUGAGGCACGAAAGCGUGGGGAGCAAACAGG